CCAACCAGUGUCUCUUUAAUCAUCAGGAGAAUAAUCUUCACCAAGACAUAUUUUUCUCAGUAGUUUUUUCUAAUUUCACAUCUACAUCUUGUUUGUCCAUCAGUGAUGUUCUGCCUCUAUCUAGAGGCCAAAACAAAGAACAACAUGUUUUCUUCUCCCUUUGAAUCACUUUCAUAGUCAACGUUUACUUAAUAAAACAGGCUUAAACAGAAUCUAAUCUAAAGAUGACAAUAGUUAAUGUGUAACAUCAGUUAUUAUAGAGAUUCAUCAUCACACUCAUCACAGAGGUUGCCUUUUUCCAGAU